GUCGAGCGGAAUGACGAGAGCUUGCUCUCUGAUUUUAGCGGCGGACGGGUGAGUAACACGUGGGCAACCUGCCCUACAGAUGGGGAUAACUCCGGGAAACCGGGGCUAAUACCGAAUAAUCAGUUUGUCCGCAUGGACAAACUCUGAAAGACGGUUUCGGCUGUCACUGUAGGAUGGGCCCGCGGCGCAUUAGCUAGUUGGUGGGGUAAUGGCCUACCAAGGCAACGAUGCGUAGCCGACCUGAGAGGGUGAUCGGCCACACUGGGACUGAGACACGGCCCAGACUCCUACGGGAGGCAGCAGUAGGGAAUCUUCCACAAUGGACGAAAGUCUGAUGGAGCAAUGCCGCGUGAGCGAAGAAGGUUUUCGGAUCGUAAAGCUCUGUUGUAAGGGAAGAACACGUACGGGAGUAACUGCCCGUGCCAUGACGGUACCUUAUUAGAAAGCCACGGCUAACUACGUGCCGGCAGCCGCGGUAAUACGUAGGUGGCAAGCGUUGUCCGGAAUUAUUGGGCGUAAAGCGCGCGCAGGCGGUUCUUUAAGUCUGAUGUGAAAGCCCACGGCUCAACCGUGGAGGGUCAUUGGAAACUGGAGAACUUGAGUACAGAAGAGGAAAGCGGAAUUCCACGUGUAGCGGUGAAAUGCGUAGAGAUGUGGAGGAACACCAGUGGCGAA
rnacentral:rRNA from 1 species